AAGUCCCACCUAACAAAAGUCUAACCAACAGGUUAGUAGUGAACCUCACGUGCAAACUCAGUAAUGAGAGUACGAAGCUGAGGGAAUCAAGAAAGUAGGCUGCGUCACUGAGCCCCGAAAUAUGUAUAGUUGUGGUCUUUUAGAUAAUCCCGGCUUGUCGGGAGAAAGCCGACGGCUUUGAUGCGUACGGAAGGCAGUAGUCUUAUAAGCGUUAUGGUGAGUUUGUAAGACACCACCGGGGUCUG
rnacentral:ncRNA from 1 species